GACGAACCGUGCGAACGUUAUUCGGAAUCACUGGGCUUAAAGGGCGCGUAGGUGGCCCGGUCAGUCCGUGGUGAAAGCGCGGGGCUCAACCCCGCGUCGGCCGUGGAUACUGCUGUGGCUGGAGCACUGUAGAGGCAGGCGGAAUUCCGGGUGUAGCGGUGGAAUGCGUAGAGAUCCGGAGGAACACCGGUGGUGUAGACGGCUUACUGGACCACGACUGACACUGAGGCACGAAAGCGUGGGUAGCAAACAGG
rnacentral:rRNA from 1 species